CAGUUCCUCUCUGAUAUGUUGGCGUCUUCAUAUGAUAUUCAGCAUUUUGUUAUAAAAAGCAAUGCUACAGCGGCGGGUGGUGUGCUCGUGGUCACCCAUGUGAUCCCGGCACCUCAGGGUGCUGCGACACAAAACUCUGCAGAGAAGAAGAAGCACCGGGAACAACUGCUGGCCCUCGGGACGGUGCAGAUCAUGAUCGGCCUGGCCGUCUUUCUCUUUGAGCUCGCCAUGAUUCCAGAUACAUAUACUCUGGGGAUGUACUCUGGCGCUUUCGUCUGGGCACCGCUGUUUGACAUCUUGUCUGGAUCUCUGUUGGUGUCUGCUGGGACAUCGAUGAACAAAUGUCGGGUGAACGGAGGUGUGGGACUCAGCGUUGUUGCUGCUGUUGCUUCUGCUGCUGCUGCCUCCAUCUACGUUCUGGAUGCUUUGCAUGUAACGGGAUACCUGGACCUGGAAUAUAACAACACUUACUACUACCACCACGACUAUUACUAUAGCUCCUAUGUGACUUGUGGAGUUUCAGGUGUUUUGGCUGUUUUCUCCUUCCUGGGCUUCAUCGUCUCCAUCUGUAUCACUGGGCUUGGCUACAAAGCUUCACCUCAGUCCCCAGACCAGCUGUUCAUCAUGACCAACCAAUCACAUGAAGCAGCUUCACAGAUGUCAGAGACUACGCCCACACAGGGGACCACGCCCACAUAUGAGGCCCCGCCCAUCCCAGAGACUCCGCCCCCUUCAGAGAGCGACUACGAGACGUUGAAGCCUCAGGAAUACAACACCGACAUAGUCUGACCCCCCCUCCUCCAUCUGACCCCCUCCUCCAACAAGCCCCGCCUCCUCCGCCUGGUCCCGCCUCCUCCAUCUGGCUACAGCGGCGGGCGGCAUGCUCGUGGUCACCCAUGUCAUCCCAGCACCUCAGGGUGCUGCGACACAAAACUCUGCAGAGAAGAAGAAGCACCGGGAACAACUGCUGGCCCUCGGGACGGUGCAGAUCAUGAUCGGCCUGGCCGUCUUUCUCUUUGAGCUCGCCAUGAUUCCACACACAGAUUCUCUGGGAAUGUACUCUGGCGCUUUCGUCAGGGCCCCGCUGUUUGACAUCUUGUCUGGAUCUCUGAUGGUGUCUGCUGGGACAUCGAUGAACAAAUGUCGGAGUUUGUCGGAGAGUUGCCAUGGAGCGAGUUUGCUAAAGAGCAGCCUUGUCCUCAUCCCAUAAUGCACAGCAAGGUGAAGGGAGGUGUGGGACUCAGCGUUGUUGCUGCUGUUGCUUCUGCUGCUGCUACACCCAUCUACUUUCUGGAUGCUUUGGAUGUAACUGGAUACCUGUUCCCGAUAUAUGAAUCUAACGGCACGGCAUACCACAACUAUUACUAUAGCUCCUAUGUGUGGGAAGGUGUGAACCUGACCUGAAGAGUCCAGUUUGGGGUUCAUCAGCUGUAAAGUGUUUGGGUUUUUUUCCAGGUUUAGACUGGUGGAGCUUUAGGUGUUUUGGCUGUUUUCUCCUUCCUGGGCUUCAUCGUCUCCAUCUGUGUCGCUGUGCUUGGCUGCAAAGCUUCACCUCGGUCUACAGAACAGGUGAGUCCAGUGUGAUGUCACAGACCAGGUGAGUCCAGUGUGAUGUCACAGACCAGGUGAGUCCUGUGUGAUGUCACAGACCAGGUGAGUCCAGUGUGAUGUCACAGACCAGGUGAGUCCUGUGUGAUGUCACAGACCAGGUGAGUCCAGUUUGAUGUCACAGACCAGGUGAGUCCUGUGUGAUGUCACAGACUAGGUGAGUCCUGUGUGAUGUCACAGACUAGGUGAGUCCAGUGUGAUGUCACAGACCAGGUGAAUCAACAGGAAACAGACUUUACCUUCUCGUGUUUCAGAUUCAACCCUCAAUCUGUUUCUUCUUCAGCAGCUGAUCAUCAUGACCAACCAAUCACAUGAAGCGGCUUCACAGAAGCCAAAGACUACACCCACACAGGGGGCCCCGCCCAGAUAUGAGGCCCCGCCCAUCCCAGAGACUCCACCCCCUUCAGAGAGAGAUGACGAGACCGUGAAGCCUCAGGAAUACAACACAAACAUAGUCUGACCCCCCCUCCUCCACCAAGCAUGGUCCCGCCUCCUCCAUCUGGCCACUGUUAUAAACUCAGUACAGCCUGGUGAUGUUCCUCAAGAAGACAUCCGGCAGAUUAACUGAUGUUUUCGUUACAUUUAUAUUGACCAAAUCUUUGUUGUAUUAUUAUGAGACACAGACAUACAGACAGAC